rnacentral:rRNA from 1 species
GAUGAACGCUGGCGGCGUGCUUAACACAUGCAAGUCGAACGGUGAAGCCAAGCUUGCUUGGUGGAUCAGUGGCGAACGGGUGAGUAACACGUGAGCAACCUGCCCUGGACUCUGGGAUAAACGCUGGAAACGGCGUCUAAUACUGGAUAUGAGCCCCUAUCGCAUGGUGGGGGUUGGAAAGAUUUUUUGGUCUGGGAUGGGCUCGCGGCCUAUCAGCUUGUUGGUGAGGUAAUGGCUCACCAAGGCGUCGACGGGUAGCCGGCCUGAGAGGGUGACCGGCCACACUGGGACUGAGACACGGCCCAGACUCCUACGGGAGGCAGCAGUGGGGAAUAUUGCACAAUGGGCGAAAGCCUGAUGCAGCAACGCCGCGUGAGGGAUGACGGCCUUCGGGUUGUAAACCUCUUUUAGCAGGGAAGAAGCGAAAGUGACGGUACCUGCAGAAAAAGCGCCGGCUAACUACGUGCCAGCAGCCGCGGUAAUACGUAGGGCGCAAGCGUUAUCCGGAAUUAUUGGGCGUAAAGAGCUCGUAGGCGGUUUGUCGCGUCUGCUGUGAAAUCCCGAGGCUCAACCUCGGGCCUGCAGUGGGUACGGGCAGACUAGAGUGCGGUAGGGGAGAUUGGAAUUCCUGGUGUAGCGGUGGAAUGCGCAGAUAUCAGGAGGAACACCGAUGGCGAAGGCAGAUCUCUGGGCCGUAACUGACGCUGAGGAGCGAAAGGGUGGGGAGCAAACAGGCUUAGAUACCCUGGUAGUCCACCCCGUAAACGUUGGGAACUAGUUGUGGGGACCAUUCCACGGUUUCCGUGACGCAGCUAACGCAUUAAGUUCCCCGCCUGGGGAGUACGGCCGCAAGGCUAAAACUCAAAGGAAUUGACGGGGACCCGCACAAGCGGCGGAGCAUGCGGAUUAAUUCGAUGCAACGCGAAGAACCUUACCAAGGCUUGACAUAUACGAGAACGGGCCAGAAAUGGUCAACUCUUUGGACACUCGUAAACAGGUGGUGCAUGGUUGUCGUCAGCUCGUGUCGUGAGAUGUUGGGUUAAGUCCCGCAACGAGCGCAACCCUCGUUCUAUGUUGCCAGCACGUAAUGGUGGGAACUC